AUUCACCAUGCUUUGAAGAAAAUGAAGAGCCAACUCAUUUGAUUUAAAGCAUGGUGAAUCCAUCAUAAUAGUAACAUAUAUGCAGCACAAGUUCUGAGAUUAAUGUACAUAGCAUGAAUUUUACAGCAAUUGAGUUAUAAAUCUCACUUGACAGAGAUGGAUGGGACAAGUGAUGCACAAAUGAAACAUAUGCUUCAGAAAAGCAAGCUUGCCCAAGCAGCAAUAAAGGCGAAGCCACCAAAUGGAGCCAAGGUAGCAUACUUUCUGUCCUCAAGUAAAGCCACAGCAUAACACAUCCCAGAGAAUGCAAGAAUCCCAGUUGUUAAGAGGCCCCCAAAAACAUUGGGAUUUUUGGUGAUAGGGGCAGCAAGAAGAGCUGCAGUAUGAACCAGAUGGUAUAGAGAUGCUGUAUGCCAUACCUCCUUGUAAGCGGGAUUCUGGGGCUUGAAGACAUGGGCACCAUAUGUGCCCAACCCAAGAGCUGCAACUCCCGAAAGAGCAGCAACUUUGUGCCACGUAUAAGCAUCCAUUGUUGUGCACUGGUUUCUCUGCUGUCUCUCUGAAUUUUUUGCAGGAAACAAACACUUGAUCAUUAAAACUUUAGGCGAGCAAAGACGUCCAUCCUCAGCUUCAAACUGA
rnacentral:misc_RNA from 1 species